rnacentral:lncRNA from 1 species
AUCAGGGGGUUGCGUGCGCAGCCUCCUCUGUUUCCGCCCUGAGAGCGGGCUCUUCUGAGUCGGGGAGAAUUGGGCAUCGUCACGUGCUCUGUCUGCGCCCCGAGUGGCCUCUUCUCCUCCUCCACAGACACCUCGGGGAGGGGUCAUCCUUCAGACACGCUGAGCCUAGGCUGCCCGCCCUUCCGCAGCCCCGCCCUGGCCGGCUCCUCGCGGCCCACUAGGCCGGUUCUUCCCCACGUCAGGACCCCGCCACCCCACUCUGCCCCUCCACCCGAGGCUGCCUUAUCCUUUUGCUUUCUCUCUUAAAUCUGCUGCCCGUUACUGCUAUUCUACCCUUUGGUUUGAAUGGGGAGGCACUGGCCUCGGAGCUCCUUGCUGCUGACAUCAGUUGUGCCCUUGUAGGAGACGUCCUGGUCCUGUCUGCCUCAGAGGCUUCCAUCUGCGGAUUUCCUGAGGUCGUCCCCUUACUCCUCUGCUGCAGUCUCUCUCAACAUUUCAACUGUCUGCUCCAGAAAGUUACUCUGUCACUAAGUAAAAUAAAUACAAACAAAAUA